UACGUAGGGGGCAAGCGUUGUCCGGAUUUAUUGGGCGUAAAGAGCGUGUAGGCGGUUUGGUAGGUCCGUUGUGAAAACUCGAGGCUCAACCUCGAGACGCCGAUGGAAACCAUCAGACUAGAGUCCGGAAGAGGAGAGUGGAAUUCCGGUGUAGCGGUGAAAUGCGCAGAUAUCAGGAAGAACACCCGUGGCUAAGGCGGCUCUCUAGUACGGUACUGACGCUGAGACGCGAAAGCGUGGGGAGCGAACAGG
rnacentral:rRNA from 1 species